rnacentral:rRNA from 1 species
AGAGUUUGAUCCUGGCUCAGGAUGAACGCUGGCGGCGUGCCUAACACAUGCAAGUCGAGCGAUUCUCUUCGGAGAAGAGCGGCGGACGGGUGAGUAACGCGUGGGUAACCUGCCCUGUACACACGGAUAACAUACCGAAAGGUAUGCUAAUACGGGAUAAUAUGUUUUUGAUCGCAUGGUCGAAAUAUCAAAGCUCCGGCGGUACAGGAUGGACCCGCGUCUGAUUAGCUAGUUGGUGAGGUAAUGGCUCACCAAGGCGACGAUCAGUAGCCGACCUGAGAGGGUGAUCGGCCACAUUGGAACUGAGACACGGUCCAAACUCCUACGGGAGGCAGCAGUGGGGAAUAUUGCACAAUGGGCGAAAGCCUGAUGCAAGCAACGCCGCGUGAGCGAUGAAGGCCUUCGGGUCGUAAAGCUCUGUCCUCAAGGAAGAUAAUGACGGUACUUGAGGAGGAAGCCCCGGCUAACUACGUGCCAGCCGCAGC